rnacentral:lncRNA from 1 species
AGCGCAGACUGGUGAUUCCCGCAUGAACCCCAGAGCCUGGUCUGGUCCUAGCUCUGUAGCUGAGAGCUGUGCCAUCCUCAGCAAGGACUUACUCAGUCCUUUUGCCUCUGCUGAUUCAGCCCCAAAAGUAGAGUCCUAGCAAUGCCACCUCCUUCAGGUGUGUUUGCAGGGCCCUGCUCAAGUGACCCAACUUCUGCCUGGCUUGGCCUGGGCUGCAAUCACACAGCCUUCAAAGACAGAAUGCUAUCCUAACUAAAUUCUGUGUUUAAUCUGUAUCAGGUACCUUCCAGCCAUGUGACUUAUGAAAUCCAUAAUGAAUACAGAGCCAUCCUAAGAAAAAAGGUCGAAGUGUGGAAACUACCUAAAUUUAACAAGCCCUAGGUGUGUUACCUAAAUUUAAACCCCUAGGUUUAGGGAUGUGGGUGUGGUGGUUGGAAGGAAGGAGAAACAGCCUAGAAUAAUCCACAGUAGAGCGGGGGCAUCCUGGCAGCCUGUGCAUGCAGGUGCAUAAGAAUUUGGUACCUGCUUCCUAGGAAAUCUAGGGAGAGUUAGUGCUGCUUUUGUUAUAAAGUCUAUUUCAAAGCACACUGAGAAUAAAUUUAGAAGUUAACAAUCAUAAACUUUAAUGCUCUUUUAAGCUGAAAAGGCAACUGCCUCUUCACCUUUAUUUAAUACACCAUUUCCAAUUAAGCACGUACAUGAGAAAUAGCAACAUUAUUAGAAAUAGCUAUCAAGUGAGACUUUUGAUUAUUUGCACAUCUGUAAGAAAUGGUAUCUUGGUAAAGUGUAUGGGCCAUGUUUAUGUACGUGUAUAUGUGCAUAUGUGUCUGUUCAUACCUUUUUCCCAUUUUCCUAGAAUUUCGGGUUUCUUCUCCCUCAACUUUUAAAACAUUUAUGAUAUGCUACAAAGGUUUUCACACAAUUGGUAUUUUUGUCUUUUGACCUUAUUGUGUUUUUCUGUUUUGUUUUUGGUCAGGCAAAGUUGUUACUUUUUUUUUGAGACAGGGUCUCGCUCUGUCACCGAGGCUGGAGUGGCACCAUCAUGGCUCAUUGCAACCUUAACCUCCUGGGCUCAAGUGAUCCUCCCACCUCAGCCUCCCAAGUAGCUGGGACUACAGGUGUGUGCCACCACACCCAAAUUAUUUUUGUAUUUUUUGUAAAAAUAGGUUUUGCCAUGUUGCCCAGGCUGGUCGCAGUAUUUUGGAAUGCAGUCAAAUUCAUCCAUCUUUUCUUUGUUGAAGCUGAAUUUUGAGUUACGCCUUUAAAAAAGCCUUUCCCAACACAUAGGUAAUAUUCAACCAUGUUUGUGUCUAACAUUGGAACAGUUGCCUUUUUCACACUGAGUUCUCUGACCCACUUGCAGCCUAUUUUUGCAUGUGGUGUAAGCUAUAAAUCCUAAUGAUGUAUUUUACAAAAUGGAGUCCAAUUGUCCCAAGAACGUUGACUCUAACAAUCUAUCUUUGACCCAACAAUCUGAGAUACUAUCUUUAUCAUAUACUAGAUUUCCAUCUAUAUAUGGGCUUAUUUCCUCCAUUGGUCUGUCUGGUUCUUCAUGCAACCUUGCCACACUAUUUUCCAUAUAGCCUUUGUAGUAUGUUUUAAUAUCUAGUAGAGCUAUUCUCCUUUUCUUGGCUCUUUCUUUUCUAAGUUUUCUAGGUAUUCAUGCUAUUUCAAUUUUAGAAUCGACAUGUCCAGCCCAAGAAAAAAAAGCUGAGUCUUUUUGCUUUCAAAUAUUAGCAUCACAUUAAAUUUGAAAAUUACCUGACAACUGACAUCUUAAUGAGCCAAGCCAUCUUAACCGAGAACAAGGUGUCUUCACCUGCUCAAGGCGACUUCUGUGUCUUUCUCAACUUAUUGUUUUCUUCACUUAGCUUUUGAACAGUUCUCAUUACAUUUAUUCCUAAAUAUUUUCUCGUUGUUGCUAUUGUUAAUGGGGUUGUCUCUUCCAUAAUAUCUUCUGAUUAUUUUUGUAUAUAUGAAUAACAUUGACGUUUGCAUAUUAAUUUUGUAUUUCUACUGGACAGGACUGCUCUAGGGUUUUCCAGAUACUCCCAAAAGAGGUAGUUUUAUUUCUUCUUUUCCACAUGGUAUGCCUUUGUUUUUUCUUUCCUUUACUCAACAUAGCCAGUGGGUACCUCAGGAUUCCUCCAUAUUGACUAAUGAAACUGCACAUCUGUGCUUUGUGCAGCCUCUUCCUGCCUUGCCACAAGCCCUGCUCUGACGCACUCAACUCCAGCACUUAUUCCUUGCUUUGGGGAGAUACAACUGACACAGAGAAGAGACAAAUUUGCACCCCAAAAGUGCAUCCAGCCGUAUUUGUUCUCAACAAUACCUUCUUUACCUUUCUGGCUCUUGUUUAACUAUAGUUAAGUUAAAUUUGUGUACCUCCCACUGGAAGGACCCUAUCAUAGAUAGCACUAAAAAUGGUUUAUUAAAGUAAAGUGAGCUAAAUAUUUUAAGUUGCUCGGAAGUUCCCAAGUCACUCAUCCGGAGAGUAAGAGAAAAGGGGGACAGCUAAAAGCCCCAAGGCCUGUGGCUCCCCAGAGUUCUCGUGGGUUUCCAAGCACAGACUCACGGCUAAGAAACGGAGUGCAGGCAUCCCAGCAUUUGGCCUAGCCACCCCCUCUCUCUCCAGGUCACGUAUUUAGGAUGGCCUUAGAGACAUGAUGAUAAACACACUGAGAGCAAGGCUAAGUUAAGUGACAGAUGAUAUCUGUACUUAAUACACGAGUCUAGGUUGAAACAUUAAACACAACCACAACCCACGCUGAACACAGAGGGCUUUGUUAAAUAUCAUAAAAAGGCUUUAAACUCAGCAGGCAACAUAGCCAAGUAGAGAAAGGACCUAUAAAAAAAAAAAGCCUCCCACGGGAUUUAACAAGCCUGCUCAAGAUACAAUUGCAUUAAAGGCAAAGAAAGGAAUACUGCUGUGGAUGAGAAAACAAAGCAAACAGCUAAGAACAACUUCAUCAGGUUGAGAAGCAAACAGUCCUAAAACACGACAUGACAUCAGGGUAGCUUGUUCUUACAAAAGAAUUUCUGCACUAGAUUGUUGGUAUUCCUUUACAGUUGUUUUACAGAACAAAGACAACACUAUCACUAGCAAAAAGCCUAAAAAAGCAAAGAAGCUGAUUUCAGCCAAAAUUCCUAGACAUGGGUACACUAUAAAAAAAGAACUCACUCAACAAGUUCAUAAGCAUAAAGACUGGACAGUGGUGAGCUUCUUGGAACUUCACCUCUACAGACAGACGAAUCAUGUUUCCAGUCCCCUAUCUUCUUGCAACCAACAAUACGUUUUCACGAAGGAAGCCAGUCCUUGAAAUCAUCUGCAUACUGAGAAAUACACUCAUAUAUGUGUGUGUGUGCAUGAAGCAAAUUUAGUAAAGAACAUAAAAGCAACACAAUGUUAGAAUGCUUUUAGCUUUAGUGUUCAAAAUAAUUCCUUAUUUCCUUAGGGCACUUACGAGUUUUCUCUUUUAAAAUAUAUUCAGUUAACUGUGAUCUGAGAAGGAACAGAUGAGGACCAGUCAGGAGCAGCUGAAGGAAACAGAGAAACCAGCCUUCCACCUCUUGUAUCAUACUUAGGCCAAAAUGAAACCAAUGCUUCUCUAGAAAAUCAUAAAAUACACAAAUAUUAAAAUACAAAGAAGCAGGCCGGGUGCAGUGGCUCAUGCCUAUAAUCCCAGCACUUUAAGAGGCCAAGGCAGGCAGAUCAUCUGAGGGUCUGGAGUUCAAGACCAGCCUAGCCAACAUGGUGAAACCUCAUCUCUACUAAAAAUACAAAAAUUAGCCAGGUGUGGUGGCGGGCACCUGUAAUCCCAGCUACUUGGGAGGCUGAGGCAGGAGAAUUGCUUGACCCCAGGAGGUAGAGGUUUUGGUGAGCCAAGAUCAUGCCACUGCUCUCCAGCCUGGGUGACAGUGCCAGACUCCAUCUAAAAAAACAAAACAAAACAAAACAAAACAAAACAAAACAACGAAGCAGCAACGAUGCAUGCUAAGCGUAACAGAAAAAUCACCUGGGAAGUAAAGCCAAAGCUUCACAUGCCAUCCUUGUCUCCACUUUAACCCUGUUAGGUAAGUUUCUCCAACUCAACCUUUUUAUCCAACUCUGUUCUCAGAACCUGGGUGCUUCAUACUUGGGAGCAUUUCCCCAAGGGAAGCACAGAGACUUUAUAUCAGUGUCAUAAACAUCUAGACCCCUUGUAGCCAGCAGGCACCCCAAGAAAACUUCAAAGAGCAGGUGUGGAGCUGCUCUGUGUGAGGCCACCCAGGACAGCAGGAAACAUCUACGGCAGCAUGGGCUGCCUGCCAGCGCCAGGGAAAUUCCCUACUCCCCAGAGGGCACGCUUGCCACUGCUGACAUUUCCCUGCUUCCAGCCCUUCACAGGGGCCCAGCAAUGCUAUGUCCAUUUUAUUUAGCCAAAACAGACCACCUCAACUUUGCUAGAGGUUAUUGCUAGUAAGUAUGAUGGGAGUUUCAUCUCAACCUUUGAAGAUUCUGUUCUUGAGAAACACCUCCAGUUCUGGGUUCGUCCCUCAUUCUUUGUAUCUCCAAGCUGCAGCACGGCCUGUCCAUGCCCUGACCCCCACUGUGUCUCCACUGACCCAAUUCUUCCCUGCUCUUUCUUGGAACUCACUCUAUCCCAGGAGUCCCCAGUCAAAUGGGUACAGUAGCAACAGCCUCUCUUCCCUGACAAUGCUCCUUUACAGCCUCCACUGCACAGGACAACUCCGGAAUCCAAGCUGACAGCACCCGGACAGCACCUAACUCUUCACAGAAGUGACUGCAGCACAUAAAUAUAUCCCACUGCACCAAAACUAACCACAGCCAUAUCACAGAUACCCAAGGCUGCCAGGCACAAGGAGACAGACAAGAAAGGGGAAGCCCAAGUGGAAGGAGAGGGUAGCAGGCCUACCCCGCUGAAGGGAACAGAACACACUUGUGAAAAAGUAUACGAGCUAGCUGAACGCACUGCUCCAGGAGGGACCCCCCUCCCCAAAAGUGAACCCCUUGGAGAUCAACCGUCACUGACCCCUGGGGCCUGGUUCGAUAAGUGUGCCCUGACUACUCGGUUUUCAAAACCAAAGGAUAUACUGUGUAAGGGUAACAGACAGAGUUAAGAAAUCAAAGAAAACUAGUGGAACCACUUACACAAAAGUCAGGAUAAUUAUUUAUUUGGAGCAGAAGAUAAGGACACAAAAAAGUGUUUUUGAAAAAACACUUAUUUUUAAAGUAAACGUUAUUUUUAGAACAAUUUUAGAUUUGAAGAAAAAUUGAGCAGAUGUGACAGAAAGGCCCCACAGACCCCACACCCAUUUUCUAUUAUUAAGAUCUUACAUGAGCAUGGUUUAAUACAGGAGUCCCAACCCCUGGGCCAUGGACAAGUAACAGUCCAUGACCUGUUAGGAACUGGGCUUCAGAGAAUCAGUUCUUGCACUGAUUCUGUCAGAUCAGUGGCAGCAUUAGAUUCUCACAGGACUGGAACCCUAUUGUGAACUGCGCAUGUGAGGGGUCUAGGUUGCACAUUCCUUAUAAGAAUCCAAUGUCUGAUGAUCUGCCACUGUCUCCCCUUACCCCCGAUGGGACCAUCUAGUUGCAGGAAAACAAGCUCAGGGCUCCCACUGAUUCUACAUGAUGCUGAGUUGUAUGAUUAUUUCAUUAUAUAUUACAAUGUAAUCAUGGAAAGAAAAUGCACAAUAAAUGUAACGCGCUGGAAUCAUCCCCAAACCAUUCUCCCAGCCCCCACCUCGGCCCAUGGAAAAAUUGUCACCAGUCCCUGGUGCCAAAAAGGUUGAGGACUGCUGGUUUAACGGACCAGUAUUAAUUAACACAUUGUUAUUAACUGAAAUCCACACUUUCGUCAGAUUCAGUCGUCCAGGAUCCCACGUGACAUUGAGAUGUCAUGGCUCCCUAGGCCCCUCUUGGCUGUGAGUUUCUCAGACUCUUCUUGGUUUUUGACUGUUGAGGAAGCUGUCCCUCAGCUGGGAUCUGUCUGAUGUUUUUCUCAUGGUACAGGAAGGGACUGAGUUUGGGGAUGAAGCCCCCAGAGGUGAAGGCCCACUGUCACUCCACUGUAUCAGGCACACCCUGUCACCGUGACUGACCACUGUGAGGCUGACCUGGCCCCUGCUGGGUUGAGCCCCCCGCCCCACUUCCAUGCUGUCCUCUCUGGAAGGAAGUUGCUCUGCACAGCCCUUGCCUUGGGGUAAGGGUUGUGCUCCACCUCCUGGAAGACACAGCAGAUACAGCAGAUGCAGAGAUGAUCUGGAAUUGUGCUGGAAAAGGAGCUUUGUCUUUUCUCCUCAUUUAUCAGUCAUUUAUUUAUGUCAGUCUGGACUCAUGGAUAUUUAUUUAUCUCUGGGCUAUAAUCCAAUACUACUUUGUUUUGUUGUAGAAACUGUUCCAGCUUUGGCCACUGGGAGCUCUUUCAGUUGGCUCCUGGGUCCCUUUGACACCACCCAUUGAUGUGGGUGUGGUUAUGUUUGUUUCUCGGCAUUUCCUUGCCAUUUCCUUGGCAUUCCUGGCACUUGUGUUAUUUCCUGCCCAGUCCUAGAAUCAGCUAUUUCUCCAAUAAAGAAUGCUCACUCUAUUUUUUAUAUGCUGUUUUAUGGAACAUGCAGCUACAUGUUUAAAAAAUAUAGUUGUGGUUACAGCUGGUUUUGCUGACUUGAAUCCAUCCCCUUCUUUCUGACAACAGCACCCCAAAUGUGCUGAGGAAAGUGCCUUCUCCCAUUGAACUGCCUGCGUAAUUACUUCCAAGAAAUCAAAAAUUAUUUUAAACCCUUGUGCUGAUAACAGACAGACACCAAGGUAAGGAAGAUAAUUAUAGAAAUUCUGAUUUAGAAUUAAAAUAAGCACAUUGGCCAGGCAUGGUGGCUCACAUCUGUAAUCCCAGCAACUUGGGAGGCCGAAGAGGGAGGAUCGCUUGACGCCAGGAGUUCAAGUCUAGCCUGGGCAACACAGCAAGACUCCGUCUCUACAAAAAAUAAAAAAAGUUAGCUGGGUGUGGUAGUGCGCCUGUAGCCCCACAGUCCCAGCUACUCAGGAGGCUGAGGUGGGAGGAUCACUUGAGCCUGGAAGUUGAGGCUGCAGUGAACCAUGAUUACCACUGCACUCCAGCCUGAGUAACAGAGUGAGACCCUGUCCCAAAUAAAUAAAUAAGCACAAAAUAUGUUCACUUUAAAAUAAACCAUGUCUGGCAAAAGUAUGUCCACCACUGUAACUACUGACCCCUUACACAAUUUUAAGCAGCACUCAUCUCCCACGUAAUAGUCAGCAAGACUGGUGUGCUAACAUACCCAGCAUUCAAAAACUCCAAAAGCUUGUGUAUUAAGUAUACACUAUCCAGAAAAUUUCACAUGCUUUCUGCUUCAGGAAAGAAAUAUUAAAGCUCUACGAUGGUGAAGUUCAUUACAAUUUCCAAAAGCAAAAGGAUCACUGAUUACUUAAGAAGCAACGCUUCCUUUAAACUCCAGUACAGGAGGUAAAUGUUAAACGCUAGCAAAUCUUUUGAGAAGCAUUAAAAAAGGUUUUCGUUACAUCACAGGUAUACUUAAUCAUAACGUCAAAGCCUCUAAAACAAAAACUCUGUGCACGCACUUCAGGAGUUUUUCCCACGUGCCGCGAAAGAAGGGAGCCUAGGUGUCUGGAGAGAUCCUCUGCACCCAGCACUCGGCGACUGGCAGCGGGCAUUUCAGCACCUGCUAAAGCCCGCUGGGCAGCUUGGCAGCGCCAGGCGCGGGGCUGCGGGGACACGGCCCGCCCGCGCGCAGGGCACAGCGAGCACGUGAGCGCAGAGCCAGCUCCGGAGCGCUACGGCGCGCGUGGCGGCACACCUGCUCCCCGAGGCUGAUCGUUAACAGCCGUGGGCAGGGGUUGGGCCAGGGUACAGCUGUCAGGACCUCACUGGACAGGACCGGAGAGGACCCCGCGUAACCGCGGAACAGACACUCCCGGCAGCGGCCGCCGCCGCGGCACUGCUACGGGACGAGCCGGAGCGCUUGGCCAUGGCGGCCCGAUCCGCACUGGCGCUGCUGCUGCUGCUGCCAGUCCUGCUCCUGCCGGUGCAGAGCCGCUCAGAGCCCGAGACCACCGCGCCCACCCCUACCCCAAUCCCGGGUGGCAACUCGUCAGUGAGCAGGCCCCUGCCCAGCAUCGAGCUCCACGCCUGCGGCCCAUACCCCAAACCAGGCCUGCUCAUCCUGCUGGCCCCGCUGGCCCUGUGGCCCAUUCUCCUGUAGGGACGCCCAGCCAGCCACCUCUAAGUCGCCGCUGGGACUGGCCUGCCCCAUUGAGCAACAGAGACGCUUGACAGCCGCCCGCCUCCAUUCCUUGACUUCACCCAGAAAUGGGUCCAGAAAACUGAAUCCCACCAGCACUGGUUUGGAGCAACCGGACACCGAGGUUUCACCUCCAGGGAUUCCAUGAAGAGCCUCAAUGGAGAUGCCACAUCCUACUGAGUUAAAGAUGGGCUGAGGAACUUGGGUACCCACAAGUCUGCCUUGGGAAUCAAAAGAAAAUAUUUACCUUUAGUUUGGUUCAUUAAAUGCAUGAAGUCAAAAUAUGACCAGGUAGUGUGCGAGGCCUCCUUGUUCUGGGUAGAGCUGGGAAGGGCAGGGAUGGCAAGCGCUCCCUAAGUCUGCCACCUGUAGCCUUGCAGAGUUCUCUAGGAAAUGCACUGCUGCUCUGGUGUUCAGUGCAAUGCAGUAUUUGACUUGGGAACAGUGACUGACGGGGGCCAGUGCAAGCCUAGUUAGUAAGCCCAGCCUGUCUACUCCACUCUCACCCACACAUCCCCAUUCUUCCAAAGAACCUUGUAGCUAUCAUUUCAACCUAGUUCCAAAGAGCAGACAUACAUAAUCUCACAUAACCUGCAAUGCUGCUUUUUAAAUUUCUGUAUAUGUUGAAUAAUUUUUACAAGUUAAAAGUGACCUUUUUAAACAUAUAUUUUUAAAUCUUUAACACGGGGGGAGAAAAAGGAAAGUUUUGGAAAGGGAAGACUAGAAGCUUGGCUGGUUCAGUUCACACAAGUUUUACACUAUUUCUAUCCAUGUGUUAUCUUUAUAAAUCCACAUUUGGAAUACUUCCCAUAUAAAUAUCUUUAGAUAGAAACUGAGACUAAGCCUUGAGUAGCUUCUGGAAAGUAACCCCAACACCACCACCAAGUUGCACACACACCAAUGUCCAGCAUCUAGGAGGGCUUCAGGGCCCCCACAGCCCAAGACGUGCCAGCCCAAGAGAGCACUCCCAGAAACUCCAGAUCCAGCCAGCCUCAGAACAGCAUGUGAACACUUCACACGGGCUUACUGUGCAUGUUUUGGAUUGAGCCUUGUGUUCAGUAAUUAUGCUUGGAUUUACAUAACUUAAAAUGACAUAUUUUAACAUAAAUUGUAAAUUUUUAUUUUUUAUUUUUUUGAGACAGAGUCUCGCUCUGUCACCCAGGCUGGAGUGGUCCCCUCCCAAGGUUCAAGUGAUUCUCAUGUAUCAGCCUCCUGCUCGCUGGGAUCACAGGUGUGCGCCACCACACCCAGCUAAUUUUUUUUGUACUUUUAGUAGAGAUAGGGUUUCACCAUGUUGGCCAGGCUGGUCUCAAACUCCUGACCUCAAGUGAUCCACCCGCCUCGGCCUCCCAAAGCGCUGGGAUUACAGGCGUGAGCCACCCACCGCGCCCAGCCUGUAAAUUAUUUUUUUAAAAAGGCUUGCAGAGCAAUCCGAAGACCCUAAUUUAACAGGCUGUAUACUAGGCACUGAAGGAUGAUCAACUAUAGCUUCAUUAAAGGAAUAAUGAAAUUGCUGCUCUCCCACAGGAAAUUACAGUUCCCCGGUCACCAGCCCUACCACCACCCCCUCCUCAAGGAGAAAUGUGGAAUCAACAACCCUUAAGAGAAAUCCUGAGAGGGAAGACAUGCGUGAAAAUCCCAUUCAGGCUAUGAUCCACGGCUAAAUUUCAGUCCCAAGCAUCUAUCACAUGUCACCUCUAAAGCGCCAUCUGUCUGCUGGUAACACUACUACUGAAGCAUUUGCUCUGCUGAGGGAAAACAAUAUGCUCCUAUAUUAGGGGUCAUUUCUGCUCUACAGGGAAGAAGGACUCUGUCUGGCCUUAUAAACCUAGAAUACUAAGAAUAACCUGACCCCCAAUUCUGAGGCAGAGGCAGUGAGCUCAGGUCAAGGAUAAGCUCUGACAGUUGUCCAGUCAAUGCCAGAGAAGUCUCUCUCCUAAAAGAGAAACACACACAAAUAUACACAAGAUUGAAGGCUGAGGAAAGUGCUCGAAAGGAGGCUAAGAGCAUAUGUGUGCAAAUAGCCCAAAGAGAACAGCCUCCAGCUCCUGCCUAGCACUCGCCAUCCCCCACACUGCCACGAACACUUUACCUAAUCAUGUAAUCCUCACGGGAAUGAGGCAGGUUUGAGUGUCCCCAUUUUGCACAUAGGGAAACUGAGGCCCAGCACUGCAGCUAGGAAGAGGCAGGGUGGGGAUGAUUCAAACUCAACAGUUUUGUUCCAGGGGCCAGGCACCCUCCACUGAGAACCUAGAGGAUGCCUCCAUAAACAGGCAGGUCAGGACGGGAUGGGAGACAACGGUCAUAUAAUGAGCUGGGGCAGAAGGGGCCGUCAGCAGAGGAAGAGCACAGAUGGAAAGCCACCAGCUGGGAAUAAGCAAAGCCCAGGCAAGAAACUUCUAGGAAGCUGUGAGCAGCCCCUAGACAGAGACGGGGAGAGUGGUCCAAGGGAGGAGGCCAUGGGCCUGCAGCAGACCUGGGAGAGUGCUCCAAGGGAUCUGGAGACAGAUGGGAGCCGGGUCAAGCACAGCCGUGGGGUGAGGAGGAAGUCACAGUUGUAUUCCAGAUGCCCUGGUGGGUCCGUGGAGCCUGCAAGCACAGGGCAGGAAUGACUUGCCAGCUGCUGGACAGCAGGGAGACGUGGAAAGGCAAGCACCCGGGUGGGAAGCGAACGCAGGGACAGCAGGCACAAAUGUUUGAGGGGACUGGGUGUGACGGUGAGGGAAAGCGAGGUGGCUAGGAUGACUGCCAGGUUUCCAGCAGCUGGGUGGGUGUUGGUGACGUUCACUGUAAGGAGAAAGGCUAGGAAAUUUAGGAAAAUGAAGCUCUGGUUUCAGAUGUUCAUUUUGUGACACCUGUGUGACAUCAGUGGGGAGCAGGGCGAGGCUGCCUAGCAGGCUGGGCCAGAGGACCACAUGGAGCUCAGGUUGAAAGGCAAAGGCACUCUCCUUUUCCUUUAGGGAGCAGCGGUUUGUCUCUGGAAUUGCUUCCACCCAAUGGCCUCCCUGACAGCUCCCCUUGAGUGCCCCCAAGUCAGCAUACCCAAACAGACCUGCUAGUCUACCCUCCCCAUCACCACAGUGGGCUCCCUCCCAGCUGUCCAGUCAUAGGCACUGCCUUCCACCUUGCCACAUGGCCAGCACCCAGGCAUCCUCAGAACCUUGCACAUGUGUCUGAAGUCCCCACCAGCCAUGCUCCAUCACUCCUGCCUGGACAGCGGCCCCUCGGCGUCUGCUCUCCACCUGUUCUCCUGCCACAGGGACCCUUCCACGGCACAACUCUGAGUUCAUGCCCCCAACCACAAUGGCUUCCCACCUCCAGAAAAAAAAAAAAAAAUCAUGAUUCUCUACCAUGGCCAACGCCUUAUACUUUGUACCACAUCACACAGGGCCUCGGUAUCUCCUGACUAGUUUUCAAAUUGGGAGUGAGCACCAAUCCAGUAGCCCGAAAAUCAUGUUAGCCUCCCUCAUUUGCACACCAGGCUUCCCCAAAGCUCAUAAGCUUAGUUUUUCCAGCAUUUGCUCUUUUGUCCUGUUACCAAAGAGAAGGUAUGUGACCAUCUCACAGUGGAAAAUACUCUCCUUAAAGAAUGGAAAGGGCCAACCCCACCCAUCUCGUACCUAAAGGGUGCUGCUGAGGAAGGAGGGGAACUACAUCUAGUUCCCAGCAGAAAACAAGAAAAAGAAACCGGACUUGAAGAGGAAGCUACUUGAGAACAUUUAAAAAGAGGAGAAAGGCUGGGCGCAGUGGCUCACACCUGUAAUCCUAGCACUUUGGGAGGCCAAGGUGGGUGGAUCACAAGGUCAGGAGAUCGAGACCAUCCUGACUAACACGGUGAAACCCCGUCUCUACUAAAAAUACAAAAAAUUAGCCGGGCGUGGUGGCAGGCGCCUGUGGUUCCAGCUACUCAGGAGGCUGAGGCAGGAGAAUGGUGUGAACCCGGGAGGCAGAGCUGGCAGUGCCACUGCACCGCCUGGGCGACAGAGACAGACUCUGUCUCAAAAAAAUAAAAUAAAAAUAAAGAGAGGAGAAAAUUCCUCCCGAAGCCCAAGCUGGCUUCCCCAGAGGUUCCCUCAUCUCUCAGGAGCACUUCUGGGUGACAAUGAUGGGUUCUUUCUAUAGUAUGAUCGCCCCUAGGAACGACCAGGGAGGCCUCGAGGAAGUACAUGGGGACAAGAGCAGUUCCUUCUGGAGGGAAGGCUCACCAGAAACAAAUCCAGAGAUAGAAACACUAAAGGGAAAGGAGAGUGGAUGAUGAAGGGGGAGCACUGGGGCUGUCCCUCCAACAGCCUCAGGGCAGGGCAGUGUUGAGGACACAGGCCCACAGCAGCCAGCCCAGACCUGCAGGAAGACAGGCAGGGCCGGCACAGCUGGUGCAGGGAGCGAGACUGCCCAGCUUCCAGACUUCCAACAGGAGAUAUGCAAAACCCUUCCUCAGAGCAGAGGGGGCACUUGUCCCUUGCGCUUCUGUUCCCUGUGGACAGAAUCCAACUCACGCACUCUUUCCUGCAGAAGGAGGCAUCUAGAAGGAGGAAAUGGGCUGCUUAGCCCAGCCGGUCCUCCUCUCCUCUUGGGCUAGGCGCACCCACACCAAAGUGCUAGGGUUUCUUCUCCUGCCACGUGGAAGGGGCUUGCCCCCAGCCAUGCUCGUUACUAGGUGGGAAGUUUGUCUAAUUUGGGAUAAAGGAUUAGCAAACCCGCUUGGCCAGUCAGCCACUUUCUCCAGUUGCUUUUAUCUAAAACAGAGCCUGUAUCUGAUCUCCACUUGCCUAUCUACAGUGUGUGCGGCUCUCUCAACUGGUCUGGAAUUUGAGAGGGUAAAAAGUGGGUGCUAAAUAUAAAGCCCCAACAGCCCCACUUUUUAGGCCUCCCUCAGUCAGGAACCAGGACUUACAGCCUACAGCUCCUUGUUGAUCUGGCUGUGGGAGACCCUUACUCACAGAGCCUUAUUUUCUCGAGCACAGACCCUGCCCCAGGCAUCUGGGCAACCAGAGGUAGCCGUGUAAUACUCUUCCAGCCAAUGAGAGACACUGGGUUUCCUGAACUCCUUAUCGCUUUCCUGAUGCAGAGACACCCCUUCCUGCCUCACCACCUCUCAGCUGGAACGUCAGGCUGGAGACAUGACCCAAGGAGCCAAGCCCGAGAAGGAAACGUGCACCCUGAAACAGCGGGAUGCAGAACCCUGAAACAGCGGGAUGCAGAACCCUGAAACAGCAGGAUGCAGAACCCUGAAACAGCGGGAUGGAGAGACAGAAGCCUCGGGAAACGUGGACGACAAUGUGAGGCCCCUGUCCCAGCCCCACACCACUGGGGGAAGAGCUAACAGAAAAAGGGGGCAGAGAAAAAACACUGGGUUGAGUUCCAGGCAAUGGUCACUGCAGGAAGCUGAAAGGGGGCAGGAUGGACAGGAGCCUGGGGAGGGGAUCCAGAGCUCAAGCAGGUCUGUGCUGCACUGUGUCAGAGCUCACGGCAAAGGCCGGAGCAUCACACGCAGAGCAAGCAGGGAGCGCAGCCUGGGCUGGGGGCAGGUAGGCUGCACCUGCAGGGCUCCUGGUGACUGGGGGACCUGCACAGAAGACUGAGCCAGAAGGAUGCCAGGGUGGCACUGCCCACGGAAUCCAAGAGGUUGGCUAGUUCUGUACAGUCCUGUUGAGACACUGAUUGAGACCAGGACGAAAUACAGGCCACUGACCUUAACAAGAGACAGAUCAUUAGUGACUAGCAAGACCCAUUUCAGAGGGAUGGAAGGCCAAAACUUGAACAGAACAGACUGAAAUGUCAAGGAAGUCGUGAUAGUGGAGAAGGUGCCCAGCACAUGGGCAGCAGAAUGAGGCUGCCAGCUUUGGGCAAGGAGACUGAGUGCAAACCUCGCCUCUCAGUGAGCGUCCAGGCCCCUCGGCUGAUGGAGGUCCUCAAUUGGUCUUCCUUCAUCACAGUUAUGACUUUACAUCUGCUUGUGUGAGUACUUGAUAUACAGACAUCUGCAUCACUAGAAAUUUCCAUGAAAGCAAGGACCAUGUCUCAUUUGCCCCCCUCUCUCCCCUCAACAUGAUGCGAGAGGUUGGAUGGGAGGACAGGAAGGGCAGCUGUGUGGACAGGAAGCCCACCAGGUCAGCUGUGUGAGGAAGCAGUCUGGGGCCUCAGCAGGGCCCACGUGCAGGGCCGUAGAAACCUUGAGAGCAGAAACACAAGCAGACAUAGUGCUCGGGGCUGCUUCCAUGUACAGAGGAUGUUCCCUGAUCUGGCGGGGCGCCUGGCAGCACGUGAGUGAGGCUGAUGGUAGUGGUGCCAAAACAACCAAAUGUAUCUCCCCAAAACCUAUCAUUCAAAAGUAUCCUAGGGGAUUAAUCAAAAACUCUCAAAAAUUUUACUUGAAGAUUUUCCAGUUUAAAGGUAAUUUCAGGCAAUAAACUAGUAUUGGGUCCAAAAUGAGCUGACAGUACCUGGGAAGCCACACUACUGCUUGAUAAAGACACGGACCAACAGCCUCACAGAGGUUAUCAGUGAGGGAUCUUGAACAGAGCUCUAAUUGGGUACACGCUAAUUGCUUUAACAGACAACUGCUUGCAGAGUUGGAAAAAAUGCUUUUGAAUGUUUCUGAACAAAUAAUUUGAUAUAUUCUAUUUCUCAAAAGACCCUCACUUUUUAAACACAAAGUCAUCAAAAAACCAUCUUAUGAAAGAGAACAUUAAAUAUAACAUUAAGAUCAAGAAACUAUCUUUUAAAAUCCUGUAAAUAAAAAAAGUUAUAAUCAGGAUGGGCAGACAAAUAAUUGGAUCAAUCACAAUCACCUCAAUCAAUGACUAACAAAUCACCAGUAAAAACGAAGUGCUAAAAAGCGAGUUAUUUAAUUUUAUUUUUUCAGACACUUCUCUGAGGAGCCCCCAUGUGCUGUGCAGGGUCGAAAAACCCAAUCCUAAUGUACUUAAAAGGGCAGAUGAGAGACAUUUGCCUGAAAUUAAAACAUAAAGUAAUUCUGUUCUGGGACUUUAUCUGAAAAUCCAGAAGAAGCCCUUGGCCGGAAGCAUCAGCCUCCAGGGCCUCUUCACCCUGACAUUCCUGAGGCUGCAGCACAGUCUCCCCAUACCCCUGGUGAGGAGCCCCCUGGAGAAAAGAUGCACCCAUGCCUCCUCCGGGCACACAGUCAAAGGGCCUCUUCCUGAGAGAAGAGGACAGAACUUCCCAACACCCCGAACCUUCACUCCAAACAGGGUAAGACCUAGUUCCAGAGUCACAGCAUGAAACGCAAGAGGCGGCAGAAAAACCCACAAGUCAGAGAACAGCAGCUGUGUGGCCCAGAGGGCUCGGCACCCACAGAAAGCCGGGUCCUCUCUUCCUCUUGUCAAGGACGUCAGGCAGAGGCCUGUGGAAACCUGCCAAUGGGAGCAGUCGCCAGACCUAGAAGAGCCAAGCCCGGUGUGCCCUCGCCUGGAGUUGUGAGAAAAGUCCCUGUAGCCCCAGAUCUAGGGCCUCCAACACUCUCCUACCCGAGACUCCUACCCGAGGCUGCCCUGGGAACUGGUGAGAAAAGCCAAAGUGCACCCCAGCAAAGUGCCUGGAUCAGUCCAGUUCCUGAAGCCAAGUGCCGGUGGGGCGAGGUCCAGGCACAGAAUGGGCAGUGGCCAUGCUGCUUCCUUCCUGGGGAGGCUGCUUAUUUCAGAGACUAAUUUCCUGGUUUUCACUGUGCCUAUUGUGUGAAUAUUUGGGGGUGGGGUGGGGUAUAAGCUGAGACUCAUCAGAAGGGUUUCAGGGCCUAGUAACAGAUUACCCUGUUGGCUAUAGAAAUGGGACUGAGAUAGCCUCGACUUUAGAAAAUGGAACAUGAUACUAGUUUUGACAUCUUUAAGACUUGGGCUCCAUCAAGAAAAAAAAAAAUUAAAGGUACAAAAAUGUGUGAUAAUGAAUUACUCCUAUUUUACAGGAAUGGGAGGCUUGAUUUAUAAAAUAGUUUUUUAAAUUAUUAUUCAGGUAAAGGGUUAGAUUUAAGCUAUAAAGAGCUUGACUGGUUUUCCUCUGCCUUGUCUGCUCUGUUUUGGAAUAAUCCCUAAUAUUGUUCAUUACUUCAAAAUUUACAGAAAGAUGUUUUUGUUUUUCCUGUGUCAUACUAUUAGUAUCAGUCUAGUCAAGUGACUUGUAAAUACCAAUAAAUAGAAUGUAUCCAUUUUUAAAAAUCCAACAGGAGAACAAUAAUAAGGAAAAAGUUAACUUUUGACUAAAGCCGAAUUCCUGAUUCUAAGAUUUAAAGGUCACCUACCAGGAUUAAGAUUUGGUCCUCACAACUGUUACCUGAAGGUAAGAGUAAAUUCCAAUGGUAUAACUAUAUAAAAAAAAUAGAUAACAGAUAUUUCCAUAAAAAUUGUUUAUGUUCAUUUUUAAAAUCUCUCUCAUCAAACAGUUGUAAUGCAGUAGAGAGAAUGAGAAGAGAGAGAGGUCAGAAAGUCACCCAGUAAACAAAAGGACCACAGAUUUUUCUCCAUCCUCAACAGAGAUUCCAGUUGAUGAAGAAGGCUGCCAUGCAGGCUCAGGGCAAGGAAAGGGAAUGUGCUGCUAGCACUGGACCUCAGCUCCGGGCAAGGCUGCACCUUCUGAACCGACGGCCCAGGAGCGAAGUGACCCAUACUUCCUCCAAAGCAUCACUCUCCAGACAUGGUAAUCCAGGCCCAGAAGCAAAGGUCAGUCCCACUGUGCCUGUCACACACUCUGCUCCUCUACACCCUCCUCUAGGAAAUGAAAGAGGAAGGAUGUUGAUCUCUAGGGUCUUUUAAAUUGUUCCAAAUAAAUAAAAUAGAAUUAUUUUCUCUUACUAAAAAUAAAACACUGAUUUUCAUAUUAAAGACAAAUUAAUUUUGCAAAGGAUUAAAAAAGCAGAAAUCCAAAUCAGUUUAGCAGAAAGAUGAACAGAUGGAUUUCUGAGGUCCACUGGCCUGCAUCCAAAUUUCGCAGCCUAGCCCACGGUUAAACUCGAUCUGGAGUCUUCCAGCUCCUCCUCCUACAGGGAAACCCCCACUCUCCCUGGACUGUGGUCCACAGGAGAACAAGGAGCUCUACUCCACAGGACACCAGAGCAUGAGCAAACAUGUGGCAAUGCUGUAGGAUGCUGGUGACCAGGAUCCUGCCCCUGGGAGCCACUAAGCUGCCAGAAGACACAGUCACCCAGGCAAGGCUGUGAAUAGCACCCCAUAUCCCUAUUGCUCUCCCUCUGAGCCAUAGACAGAGAUCAUGCUGGUGGGGAAUAAGGUCUCAUGAUGUCCAGAACUAUAGCAGAAAACUGUAAGCUGAUCUCCUGCUCCUCAUUAAGUGAUGACAGUUCACACAACACAAAAAGUGCCAUUUCACCAAACUGUAGUAUUACAACACUUUCAUCAUUAACCUUUCUAAAGUAAAAAUCAUCAGAUUCAAGUCUUCUGUUUUUUCAUCAUAAGAAUUCAAUAAAAGCAGAAAUAAUUAUAUAAGCAGUUAAGCCAAACGUCAACUAGCAUUGAAGCAGUGGAAGAAAUCGGAUUGAUUUAGAGUUGAUUUAAGAUAAUACCAGGGGCAAAGACAAGUGGAUGUCUGAGUUAGGGGAAAAUUGGCAAGGACGGUCAAAUAGAAAAAACACGUGACUUAAAGACAUAGCAGAACAUAUGCUCUGUGAAGAAAGGGACUGAGUUAUUUCAUUCACUGCUAAACCUUUGGUAUCCAAAGUGCUCAAAAAAUAUUUAUUCAAUGACUGCAUAAACACAUGAAUGAAAAAUGUCAGUUUAUAUGAAGUUGAUGAACUUCAUGAAUAUAACAUGGCAGCAAUGCCCAACAUUUAAGAAAGGUUAUCACAGAACCUACAUUGUUUAAUAAAGCCAGUGCCACAAUAAUAAUCAGAUGCUCAAUUUUUCAAUAAAAAUCAUUACAAACCCUGCAUUUCGCUAUCUACAAAUGAGGUGGCCAAGGCAGUUCUUGGGGGGAAAACGUAGAGCUGCAUGUGCACAGAAGAGAAAACAAGGAUGACGUGAAAAUAAACAAGGUAUUCAAUCCCCAAGUGAGAACAAAGGUGGAGAGAGGUCAGAACCGGGGUCCUCCUGGGGAGGGUAGGAGUGCUGAGCUGCACAGGUACCAGGAAGCCUCCGGGUUGAUCCCAGUGAUGGUUGUGUGAGUGCACACAGAUAUGAGAGUCACCAGGCUGCACACUCAGGCCCCACUGGUAUACUUAUACCUGUUCAUGAGAGAAGACUGUCACAUUUUCAGGAAUUUUGUAAACCAGUUGACAGCUCAUCGGUAGCUUGAAAUAGGGCACGGUAGGGACAUUUAUAACUUGGAAAUUGGCAAAUGCUACAAAUCAGGGGUUUCCAUACACUCCCACUCCUCCUUCCCACCAAAAGCCAGGUGUUAAGCACUUAUACCACUAUGUAGCUACUACAGCAUGUAAACUACAUGAAAAAAAUGAAAAGACUAGGGGUAGGGCUGGGGAGAGACUCAUUUUGAAAAAAUAGAAGGUAUUAAAAUAAAUAGCAAUUUUAAUUUUGCACUGUGUUAAAAACAGGAUUUUCCCCAGAAUGCAGGAAUGUUUAAUAUCAGGAAAUCUAUUAAUGAAAUUUGCUAUAUUAACAGACUGGAGGGAAAACCACGUGAUCAUUUCAACAGACGCACAUAUGGUAAAAUUCUACUGCCACUCAUGAUAAAGAUUAUUUUGGACAAACCAGGAAGAGAAGGUAACAUGCUAGACAAGAUAAAGGGUAUGUACAAAACAACUAGAGUAAUGUCACACUUAAGGAUGAAAUACUGGAAGCAUUCACGUCAAAGACAACAACGAGAUGCAGCCUGCUAGCCAUCACUAUGAUCCAAACACUACACUCAGCACAGUACCAGAAGUCCUAGCCAAUUAAUACAGGGGAAGUACAAAGCUUAGAAAGGAAGACGCAUGUUCCCAAAAGGAUCCUCCAUCUAGAAAACAUGAGACACAAAUGACAAGCUGUGGACACAACAUACAAAAACCAAUCACUUUAUCACACAAGAAUAAUAAGCAAUUUGAAAUAUCAUUGAAAGAAAACAUUUAGUAGUGAUAAAGGUGAUAUUUCUGAUAACUGGGCAAAGGGCAGACUACUCAAUGACAAAGGCAAAUGAUUAGCCAAUUGAAAAAAUAUCCCAACUUCAAACUGUACAAAAACAAAUUUCAUAUAGAUCAAUAUGCUAAAUGUGAAAAACAAAAUAUAAAACUAUUAGAAGAAAUUAAAGAAAAAUAUGAGUAUUGUAGUAGGGAAAGUAUUCUUAGGAUUCAAAACCCAAAAGCCAUAAAGGAAAAAAACUGAUAAAUUUGACUAUAUUUAAAAUUUCUUUUUAGAAAAAAAAAAUCGACCAAAUCCAAAGACCAAGAUAAACCAGGUAAACAGCUUCACAUGGGAAGAAACAGAGACAGGGGCUGGUCCUGCCAUUUCUGCCAUUCUCCCAUCAUAUUCUGCCAUGGGUUUCUUUUUCAACUUUUUAUGUUGAAAUUUUAGGCUUAUGGGAAGGCUGAAAAAUAGUACAGAUAAUUCCCCUAUGUCCUUCUCCCAGCUUCCUCUAAAAUCAUAGAUUUGUAAGUUGUGAGCAUGAGGAGAAGUAUGUAUCAAUCACAGACCUGUAUGUUGUGAGCUGGGAGAAGGAUAUAUCGAAAUCAGAAAAUAAACACUGGCACAAUACAAUUGGCUACACCACAGACCUCAUCUGAAUUUCGGUGGUUUCUCCACCAAUACCGGCUUCUGUUCCAGGAUUCUGCCCAGAAUCACAGGCCACAGUUAGUCAUCAGGUCUCUAAGCUUAGACCAAUCCUCGGUGUUUCCAGUGUUCAUGACCUGGACACUUCUGAGGAACACUGAUGAGGUGAGGUAUUUUGCAGGACGUCCCUCUACUGGAGCGUCUGACAUUUCUCCAUGACUAGACUGUGAUUGUGCAUUUGUGGCAGGAGUCCCUGACAGAGCACAUGCCAUGUGGUGUGGGGCGGCAUAUGAUGCAACUUGUCUCAUCAGAUGAUGCUGAUCUUGAUCGCCCAGGUGACGUGGUGUCUGCUGGCUUCCUCCAUUCUAAAGUUACUAUUUUUCCCUUUUUAAUAAAUAAAUAACUUGAGGAAGAGAUACUUCGAGACUAGGCAAAUAUCCUGUUUCUCUCCAAACUCUGGCCCACUAAUCAGCAUCCUCCCGCGGAACUCACCUGAAGUAACUAUUUCCAUAGUGCCGCCUGAAGGCGAUUUUCUAUUUUCUCACUGCUCCUACACCAAUUAAUUGGAAUGUUUCUGUCAGGAAGAGAUGUCCCUUCUCCUUAUUUUUUCAAUUUCUUCUUAUAUCAAUAUAAGAAGUAUCAGUAGUGAUACUGACUUUGUUUUAUAGAUUAUACACCUAUACUAUCAUUACUCAUUUCCUUGCUCAAAUUGACCCGCUUUGGCCAUGGGGCUCCUCCAGGUUGCUUAUGUGCCCUCUGACACACCCCAUCCAUUUUGGCCACUUCCUUAUUUCCAGCAUCAUCAGAGGUUCCAGACUCAUCUUCUGCAAGGAGCCCUGCUUAUUUUUAUCAGCAACUGAUAUUUAGGUGUGCUCCCUGUUGCUGGAGGUCAUUGCUUCUAGGUCUUCCCAACGGACAAGGCUAGGAGAUGCAUAUGUAGGUGUAUCACUAACCCAUGCAUGUAACGCGUACACCUAUGUUUACUCCUGUGCUGUACAUGCAUCUAUUAAAGACCACAGAGUCACACUGACACCUAUCCCAAUCCAACAGCACGGCCUCCCUCUGCCAUCUUCCUUUUGCUAUUUGUAACUUCUUCCUGGGACAGUGAGAAACCUGGCUCUCAUUAUCCACUACGAUUCUGCUUAUUUGUUCAAUCCCCACAUACACAUAAAGUCGUUUCACAUUGCUCACCAUUAACACUGAGAAAAAAAUUUACUACUAUUUUGUACAGUUCUCUUCAGCCUCACAGAAUCCAGUCAACAUUAUCAUUUUCCCAAAUAAGGUUAACACUUUCCUUUCCACCCCCUUUGCUGUGGCCCUGCCGCUUUGUACUACAGUGAGAUGUGUGUUUUCCGCUUAUAUUUCAUUUUGGGUCCCCCACAUCCUGGCUGAUAUUAACCAUCUAUUUUACUUUGGAGUAUAUGAAGUAUUGCUGUGGUUUCAAGAGCUGGGCCACACUAAAAGGUGUACUGAGAGCAGCACUGCACCCCACCUAUGACCUGGCACCCACUCCACUUCCCUGCCCCCUCGCCCUCUGCACCCCACCUAUGACCUGGCACCCACUCCUCCUCCGUCCCCUGGCCCUCUGCAGUCACCAUCUCUUUUGUUUCUGGCUCUGCCCUCCUGUAUCUCCUCUGCACAAGUGUGCAGGGAGCGUGUGUCUUCCUGCAUCCCCUUCUUCUCACAUCAAGGGCAGCAUUUAGAUGUUCUUUGGUACUUGCCUCAUUCACAUCCACGUGCCCUGGAAACCACCUCAAACCAAUUCACAGAGGUCAUCCUCAACAGUGGAUGUGGUUGUGUGGCUGUACUAGAGUUUACUCAACCCUCUCCUGCAUAUGGAUAUUUAGGUUAUUCCGAAUGUAUUUUCACAUUGUUGGAGGUCUAUCUUCUGGAAGGAUUCCUAGAAGCAGAAUUGCUGGGUCAAAGGGUAAGUGUUUCUGUGGUGUUGUAGGCUGAAUGUGGUUUUAAUAUGCCCAACCGUACUUCACCGACUUCCUCUUCUGAUAAGUGGGGGGAAAACAUCAAACACCCGGUAAGAACUCAUCUGCUGAGGACCUAAUAGUGUGCACAACACAGGUGGUCAGCUUAAGAAAUGCUAAUAGCUUCUGCUCGACAUUAUAACCAUAUUUCAUCCUAUAGUAGGCUCAUACAAUUCAAGAAGCACAAUGCACAUCACAGAGACAGACUUCAAGAGCAAGCCAAAUAAAUGGCCCUUGCUAGCAUUAUCAGUAUCAAACAAAGGCUUCUGUCUUAAACUCCAUUUCGAAGCUCCUACGAACUCCUAGGAAUCUACCUAUGACAAAUGAAAAUACACAUCCACACGCAGACAUGCUUGCUAAUGUUCAAAGUCACGUGAUUCAUAAUAGCCAGAAUGCAGAAACAACCCAAAGUCCAUCGCUGGAGUGGAAUAAACGAACACGCUACGCCAAUACGACUAAAAGGAACAAAUUACUGAUAUGUUCUACAACACACGGAUGAACCCGAAAAACAUGUUAAGUGAAAGCCUGAUGCAAACGAUGACACAGGACAUGAGCUGCUUCCCAUGAAAUAUCUGCAAGGCACAUGUGGAAACAGCAGGCAGGCUGCCUGAGCGGUUGCCUGAGGCUGGGCUGGGUGCGCGAAUCAACUGCAGACAAGCACAGGGAACAUUUGAGGUGACAGGAGUGUUCAAGAACUAGACAGUGGUGAUGUCUGCACAACUCAGACAUUCAGAAAAUCACUGAAUUGUCCUCUUAGAGAGGGUGCAUUUCAUGGCAGCUGUUUAAAACAAAACAAAACCGCCUCAAAAUGCCUUUCCUAUGGUUUAUUUUCUCCCCGUAUUUUCCCAGAGCAUUCUAAAAAGGUGAAGACUCAAAGCAUUAUUUGAUCAUAACUUGCAAUUUGCAUUGUUUCCUUCAACAAUCAAUAAGCCCAGGAAAUCAUCUAGACAAAUUCUCAAUGCAGUGUGAAAAGGCACACAGGGCAGGUCUUCUGUCCAACAGCACCGCCCUAUCCCGGCUUCACACAUAGCAAGCAGUGUCUGGCAAAUCAAAGCCUGCCUUUUCCAUUCUACACCGUAGCUCAAAAUCAUUGUCCAGGAAAGGAAAAAACCUUCCUUUUCCUACAGCAAGGGCUUCCAGCAAUAAACAGAACUAAAAUCUAUCAGGCACUUCUUGCCUGUGCCACACAUAACACGUGCCUAUGGCUGAUUCGUGCAUGGAGAAUUCAAGGUGAGCUGCACGGGAGGCUCUAUGUCAGUUCUGCGUGAGAGGCACAUGCUCAAUGACGUCCUUUAGGUUCAUGUGACACCAGCCUUUUCUGUGUCAACAGAAUCAAUUCCUCACAGUUUCAUUAGAGGGAUAAAAUUAAAGAAUUGAAAGCUUCACUAUGUAACAAGAUAAAUAUGUCACUCAUUCACCUGCAUGUGGGUGAAAACAUCUACUACGUGACAACAAAAAGUGCAGAGGGAAAAAAUUCCAGAGUAGAAGUUAGAAGAUGUCACUUUUAACCCUGCUCUGCUCCUGGGUACAUACAUACAUAGUAUGUAAAGGACUCAAAUUCAAAAUGACCAAGACUAAUAAAUAUGCAUUUGAUGUGACUACUUUCAUUCAUAUCGAGAAUGGAGUAGACGUAAAGAGUCCAAUCAUUGCUGUUUAACUGCAGCCACGGCGCUGAAGUUUCUGGAAACUGUAACCUCUGUUUAAAUCGACUUCACACUAUUUAUGCUUAGGUCUAAACCAAGUGAAAUGUGUAGAUUAACACUAAGUAGUAAGUGUUUUCCACCAUUCUUCAUGUAGAGGUCAGAGGUCACGUCUGUAGCUCCCCAGCAUCUUUUGAAUCUCCUCUCUCUACCUGGGGAUAUCCCUAAGACAAAAGCCAGAAUUCUAUUUCCUGUUCUCACAGCCAGGGUGCACUCGGCCAGUCAGAUGAACCAACACGAAACCUCACCUCAAAUGAUAGAAAUUUGAGGGAGCAGGUCCCUAGUGGAAACUAUUCCUGAAAAGGGAAAACAAUGACACAAGAGAGGGCUUGGGGAUGCAGCAGCUGGCAGAGGGCCCACCAGCGGCAUCCGGCAGCCCAGGCUCACUGCACAUGAUCCCAGGGUAACCAGGUACUGUGUCUGACUCCAGAAGCCCGGGCUCACUGCACAUGGUCCCAGGGUAACCCAGUAUUGUGUCUGACUCCAGAGCCUCACGAAGACUACGAGAAGCCACUUUACAUUCUUGAAAAGAUUCCUUUUUUCAAGGAAAUCAACUCACUCUAAGUGACUUAACACUGGGUGGGUUGGACACCUUGUGCCCAACUGUUACUAAUCAAAGAAAAAGAAACAAAACUGGGCUUAUGUGCACUGCCAUAAGUAAACACACAGGAAUAAAAUGCAACUUUCCAACUUACUCUCCAGCCUGACUGAUAUAUAUGUUAAAGACCUCCACUUCUAACUUUGUAAUUUUAGAAGUGAGGGUUAAUGAAAUAUUAACUACUACUGAAUUACCUCUGGUGGCUUAUGAUAAACUCUGGACUUACAGAAGUGAAAAACAACCCCUGCUCAAUUUAAUUCAAGACAACUAACACAGUCUAGUCCCCCUAAGACUGAGGAAACAGAGAAAGGGAUCAAUUCUAAUCCCCUGGAGUUUCACGUUUUCUCUUGGACUCUGAAUCCAUCAUUCCACCUCUCUCAAUCCUGCCUCCUAAGCCCGCUUAACCCCUAAGGCCUAGGCCCUCCCUUCCUAUACCUCACCUCUUUCCACAGUUACUGAGUCAAAAGAAGGGACAGGACUCUCUGCCAAGUGCCAGCCUCGCGUGAGCCUCGGCAGCCAUGGCAGGAAGUGACGUAGCACCACCUACCAUUAGACAGGACUACACAUAGGUUCUAUGAUGAGUAUUUAUUGGACAACUGAAUGAAUGAUUAUUUGACUCUGACUUACAAUAGUCUUCCAGAAAUGGAGAGAACCUCGGCAACAAGCAAUUCAACUGCCCUCAUUCUACAUCCAAGGAGCCUGCAGCAGAGGCAUGAAGAGAAUGCACCAUCCUGUUCAGAAGCAGGGCUGGGAUUACAAUCCUGAUCUCCCAAAUUCUGGGACACUUUCCUGUUUGCUCCUUCACCAAAAACAGCUUAUAAGAGAUGCUUUUUUGGCCAGGUGCAAUGGCUCCGCCUGUAAUCCCAGCAUUUUGGGAGGCCGAGGCAAUUGGAUCCCUUGAGUCCAGGAGCUCGAGACCAGCCUGGGCAACACGGUAAAACCCCGUCUCUACAAAAAAUACAAAAAUUAGCCGGGUGUGGUGGCAUCCACCUGUAGCCCCAGCUACCUGGGAGGCUGAGACUGAGGCGGGAGGAUCGCUUGAACCCAGGAGGUUGUGGCUACAGUGAGCUAUGAUUGUACCACUGUACUCUAGCCUGAGCAACAAAGCAAGACGCUGUCGCAAAAAAACAAAAAAGAUGUGUAAUUCCUUUAAGCCUCCACAGUUGAAUCAAAUGUAUUUUUUCAUUUUAUUUGGCUGCCUUUUCCUGAAUCCUCCCAGAAUUAUUCGAAAUAUUCUUGUUUCUGUCAAGAUGUAGUUAUAAGUAUUAUUUCAGAGAAUGCAUUUCAACUGUAUCUUGUCCAAAAGGGGUUAAAAUGAUGCUGGCAGGACAGAGCUACUUUUCCAGGAUGUGGCCUCCCUGUUUUCAACAGAUAAUUUACUAUGUCAAACUUUAUGGUUUUAUAACAAUUUUGAAUGUUUUAUAAAUGUUUCUAUUCUACAUAGAAAAGUGUGGAAAUCUGGAGAUAACACAGACAUAUGGGGCAUAAAUAUAUGACUGAUUCACCAAGUACAAUAGGAUGGGGGGGCAGUGUAGGGAGGCAGCAAAAGCAUACGUUUUCAGAAGCAGAUAAACUUAAUGCAGGUUCUACUACUUACUACCAACAGAAAAAGUAAGUUAAAGUUAUUCUCUCCUUCAGCAAAGGCUUACAAGUGUCUAUCUACCAGGCAUUGCUCCGAGCCCUCAGGACAGAUUCAGAGCAAUAGCCCUGCCUUCCUGAGGCUUUCAUUCUGGCCAGGCAGGCUGUGUGGGGAGGAAGGUAGUGGUGGGUACAGAUGGCAGAAAUAAACAGAACAGUGAGCAGGGCACGCAGCACACAAUGGUGCAUGAACACUGAAGUGAGGGCUAGCUAUAGGCCCCAAGACAGCUGGAGCCAGGGCUCUGAGUGGCAGGAAGGGACAGCAGGAAAGAAGGCCGCAGGGGGACUCUGAGCAGGAGAAUGACGUGAUGUCUUCCAUGUACAGGCUCAGAUCCGACUGCUGGUCAAGAACAGACUGAAGGAGACCAGAAGUGGAAGAAGAGAUCUGUUAGGAGGCUACUCAGGUAAGCCAGGCCAGUGUUAUCAGUAAAAAGGGAUGAUGACAGUGACCCUUAAUAGCAACAUCCUAAGAUCAUCAUGAGGAUUAAACUAGAUUAAACUCACUUUACCAUGUCUGACACAUGGUAAGAGCUUAAUAAAUGUUAAACAUUAUCCAGCUUUCCUAGGAAGUCACUGAGCCCCUUAGCAUCAGUUUUCUGAUCUGAUAAAUAGGGGUAAUGAGACCUCCUACAAGAAUGUCAUGAGAGGAAUAACUGACUUAAUUACAAGGACCCUGAAGAAGAGCCAGUUCUACCUAAUAAAAGUUUAAAUGCACGUGUCUGUGUUUUACAAACAAUGCAUUACAAAUUUUGUAGGCCGUGGGAAGGUACAGACAGACGCUGGCUUACAACAGUCUGACUUAUGAUUUUUUUACUUUAUGAUGGUGUGAAAGUGAUACAUAUUUAAUAGAAAGUGUACUUUGAAUUUUGAAGGUUAGGUGUAUUAAAUGCAUUUUCAACUGACAAUAUAUUUAAGUUAUGAACCUCAUCGUAAGUUGAGAGGUAUCUAUACAAACAAAUAUUCUGCUAGUCACAUAUUAGAUGACAACUGCUUUGCAGACUCAAACAGAACCCAAUACAAAAUGAGGUCUCUAGUUGAAGACUCCUAACCUGAGAUCCUCUGGAACGUGGCAUCAUCACAUCAUCACCAUCCAAAGAGCUCCAAGAGCCCUUCUUGGUCCCUCCACUUCCCUUGUCUCCAAGACCUGAUCUAUUGCCCACAACCAAGAAUUCACACCUGCUCUCUUUUCUCCAGUUCUGCCACCUCUGCCCCGCUAAAUCAUGGCAACAGUGCCAACCCAGGCCUCCAUUCUUCCUGUUGCACUCUUGAGAGUCUGCAGGACCUGGCCCCUGUGUCUCUGCAGCCUCACCUCCUAGCCCCUGACUGGACAAUGGUUCUGGUCCUAUCCUGGCCACUCUAAUAAGCAGGCUCUCUGGCAGGCUAUCCUUCUAGCCAGAAGGCUGUUGUCCCCCCUCCUGACAUGAGCUCAUGCUUUCCCUCUGGGCCUCAGCGUACCACAUCGCACUCAGAGAGGCCUUCCCAGAACAUCAUACCUCCACCAGGAGCCACCCUCUUGAUGCCAUCUACCUCAGCCCUGUCUCCUCGGUCAUGCCAAUAAAGACAGCACAGGUGCUCCUUGACUGACGGUGGAGUUCCGAUCCUAUGAACCCAUCGCAAGUUGAAGACAUCCUAACCUGAAAAAGCAUUCAAUACACCUACCCUACCAAACAUCAAAGCUUAGCCUAGCCUACCUAAAAGGUGCUCAGAACACUCACAUUAGCCUACAAUUGAACAAAAUCAUCUAAUACAAAGCCUAUUUUAUAACAAAGUACUUAAUAUCGCAUGCAAUUUAUUGAAUGCUAUGCCAAAAGUGAAAAACAGAAUGACUGUAUGGGUACCACAGUCAAGUCAAAAAUUGUUACUGGAACCAUCAUAAGCCGGGUCCGUGUGUAGUUGUGAGGCACGGUGUCUGCCUCUGUGAUCUGUUUAGUUUCUCCACCAGAAUGUCAGUUCAAAGAAGCACAGACCUCCUCCCUGUCCUUCUCCACCGCAUCCUCCCACGAUGACUCACACAGAGCAGGCACUCAGGAAAGCCUGCCCUGAGAGAAAAGAGCAAAGGGAAAAUGUUUCCACAGCAGUGGGAACUACUCUCCACUGCACAGAUGAUGGAGAGAAUGCAAGGAAGCUGGGGAAGGCUUCUUCACAUUUCAUCGCAUUGGCUGAACUACUGAGAAGAUGGGUGUUCUGAAACUCCAAACCUGAAAAAAUCAAAUAAUCACAAAAACAAAUCAAAACUCAUGCAAUUAAGAUAUUUUACCAAGUUAACAGGCAACUGUGUUUCACUGAAUGCUGCUGACCCAGUGGAACAUAAACAUAUACAUGCAACAGGCCCAAAGCAACAAUACCUGCUUUCCUCUGGGGGUAGGGUUGGUGAGGGAGUCGUCUUAAAUGCAAAACUGAAAUUCCCAGCUAGGCAAAUCAAGCACAAAUCAGGCACCGAGUCUUCUAGUCCUCUGAGUACUGAAUUUGGUGAAUAAAGGUGCCAACCUCCAGGUAACAAUACUUUUAGAGAAAAGUGAAUUUUUUAAAUAAAUAAAAAAUUCCAUUUCCACAUGUAUCUUUCCGUAAGUACGCCCCAUGGCAUGUUCAGCACAAGCUGGUAAGAAGCUGGAUCCUGAGUCCUAGGGUGAGAUUCCGAACUUUUUAGGACUGAGGACAAAACCAUGAUUUAUUUCCUAUCCUCCUUUCAAAAGGGCAGCAUGUCUUGAGGAAUAUUUCUGAGUCCAGGCUCCCACGUGCAGAAGUCCUGCCUCCCUCCUGAAGUCCCGCCUCCCUUCUAGAGCUGAGCAUCCCUGCUCUUCCUGCCUCCCUCUCACCUUCUCAAGGACUUGGCUCCAACAUUAUCCUCUUUCCUGGCAUAUUAUAAAUGUUUCCCUCUACUGGAUCAUUCCUAUUAGCUCAUAACAUGCUAUCAUCGCUCUCAUUUAAAAAUACAACUAAAAACUUCCUGUACCCAUGUCCCCUCCAGCCACCAUCCCAUGACUCUUCCCUUUUAACAGAACUCCUCUAGAGAGUCGUCUACACUGAUGUUCCCACCUCUACUCUAUUUGUUUCCUCUCCCCACCACUCCAAACCUAUCAAGGUCACUCACAACCACCUCUUAUCAAAGCCAAUAGGAAACUCUCCAGCCCACGAAGAAUAAGAAGAAAAGAACCCCUCGGUGUCUUGGUUUCCAGGCCACUAGACUCUCACUAGUUUCUUCCUUCUUCAAACAGAGUCCUUUUCAAUGGCGUUGCUAGACCCUCCCUCCCAAUGUGGACCGCUUGCCAAAAGCUCCCAGGCCAUUCCUCAUCUCCUGCUCCUCUGUAUCCAUACUGUAUGCCUCAUAGAUCAGCAAUAUGCAAAUGACUCCCAAAUUUACAUAUUUGGCCCCAACCUCUUCUUGAACCUGACCUUGAAUUUCCAUCCAUAUUCACCUUUCUCUACUCAGAUAACUAAUCAUAAAAAUAAUAAGCAAAGUAAGCCCCAUUAAAUACUGUUAGUCAGGUACUAUUUUAGGUACUUUACAUUAGCAACUCAACAACCCUGACAAGUUGCUUUUAUUCUUCCUAAUUUAUAGAUGAGAAAACUGAAGCACAGAGAUUAGACUGCUUGCUCAAGAUCAUCUAGGAAGUAGCUGCACAAUGACCCAACCCUCGUCCUCCAGAUCUGGCCCUUGAGUGGAGCUGCUGAGCUGGGCUGCCUUCCAGUCACAAGCUCCACAUGUUCAAAUCCCAACACUGGCUCUUCCCAGACUUCCCUAUCUCAUACCUGGCACCAACGCCAAGUCAAAAGCUGAGUUGGAAGAAUCAGAUUCUAGAUGUGAAGAAAUUUCAGAAUUACUUUAUUUUACUUGUAUUUUCCUUUUUUAUGAAAGUGCAUGAAUUAUAUGAUUUUAAAAGUCAAUGCUUAGUCUAAGCUCUUUCAAUGAGUAUAAAUGAAUGCUGGGUAACAAGAAAGCAUUGUGUCACAAUCUAGUUGGCUACAUUUUCCCUUUGUUAGCAGCAUAAGAAAUGAUGAUGCAACUUAAAAAUGAUGGCAUCUUACAAAUGCUGAAAUUCAGUAGGCUGAAUCUGAUCUCACCACUUCCGCCCUGGUCUGAGGUGCCGGUACAGUCACCCAGCUUUCACAAAAGUCUAACUGAUCUCCUUGCUGAUAUUCCUCCUCCAGUCUGCAGUAGUGGAGGUGCAAAAAGCAAGCUGCAGUAAGGAGGUAAGGGUACAUCCUGCCAUUGCCACUUCCUGUGUGACCUUGGGUAAAUCACUUAACCACUCUGUGCCUAGGUAUUCCCCCCUGUAACAUGGGAAUAAUGAUAAUAAUGCCUACUUUUUGGACUGUCAUAAGAAUAAAUGAAUUAAUAUAUGUAAAGCUCUUAAAACAGCCUGGCAUAUUGUAAGCCCAACAGCCAGAGUGGUACUUUUUAAAGAUAAAUCAGAUCAUGUCAUUCGCAAGGAAGGAAGAAAGGCUCCCUUAAGGCUUCCCAUCAAACUUAAAAUCUAAAUUCCUUACCACAGCCUGUGUGCUCCAAGAUGCAGCUCUCCUCCACUCCCAUCUCACUUCCUACCACUCGCCCAGCCUCUCUGGCAGCAAUGGCCUCCCUGAGGUGACCACCAUACUACAAGGAGGCUCAGGGACUUUCACCCGAGAGUUCCCUGUGCCUGAGAGGCUGCUGCUGCCGUGACCUCAGCCCAGCUCACUCCAUCCUCACCACCUAUUUGACCUUCUCUCACCUACCCUGCCUCAUUUGCCCUUUGAAGCAGUUAGGACACCAAAUGCUUGUUUACUGCUCUCCUCCUUCCCAAGAAAAUGAACCGCUUGAGGGCAGGAACUCUCCUCAUCAGGCUCAUCCUGAAUCUCCAAUACCUAGAACAGUACCUGGGCCAGGAUGCAUGGGUGAAUGCCUGUUGGAUGAACAAGCAAAUGAAAUGGAACCAGGUUCCAAAAUCACCAAACUAGAAGCAAGUAGAGCUUCCAUUUCACUGUACUUCCAAUAAAAAUACAAGGUAUCUCAGAGUUACUUUCAUCCCCCUUCCUGUUCCAUCACAAAGACGUUAAACCUAAAACCAAAGUCACUUUUCUUUGUGUACGCCUAGGACAUCUUAUAGGCAUACAGGUGGAAAAGUGCAGCAAGCAGUACUAAUCAAACUACCAAAAAAAAAAAAUUGUGAUAAUUUGAUAUUAAUGGCCCUAGCCCAACAGCUGUCAAGCUAUGGAUGAAGCAAAACUCUGCAAAUGGAAGGUGCGGUAAGCCCUGCCACGAAGACCUCUGUGGGCUACUGCGCUGUCCCUGUCCACACCCCAGAUAAAAAGCUGUCAACUUGGAAAGAAAAGUCACUCAAGGAAUAAGGAAGGAAUCUUAAUGAUUUCACUGGACAAUUUUUAAUUUUCCCAUUUGCUUUUCCUACCUCACAUAUUAUGAACAUACAAAAUAAUAUGGGUUUUUUUUUAACACCAUUUCCAUCACACCAAAUUACAGAUUUAGAAAUUCCUAUUUUAGAAAGUUGACACAGAAAACCACUGAGUUUUCUUUUUCUUUUCUUUUUUUUUUUUUAGACGGCGUCUCGCUCUGUUGCCCAGGCUGGAGUGCAAUGGCACGGUCUCAGCUCAUUGCAAGCUCCGCCUCCUGGGUUCACGCCAUUUUCCUGCCUCAGCCUCCCAAGUAGCUGGGACUACAGGCGCCCACCACCAUGCCCGGCUGAUUUUUUAUAUUUUUUUAGUAGAGACGGGUUUUCACCGUGUUAGCAAGGAUGGUCUCGAUCUCCUGACCUCGUGAUCUACCCGCCUCGGCCUCCCAAAGUGCUGGGAUUACAGGCGUGAGCCACCGCGCCCGGCCACCAUUGAGUUUUCUAAUAAAAUUGGACCUCUCUGAGCUUUUUGGUUUCAAACUAAGCUUGAUAACUUUGCUAAACUUUUUUAUAGGCUGGUAAAUGUGUAACUUCAUCUAUUUCUUUCCAAAGUUAACUACCUCCUAUUUGAAUUAUAUUGUUUGAUCACAGAGCUAAUCACAGCAUUCAAGGGAAUAAAACCCAGUUCUUAAGUAAAACUUACAGCUAAGAAAUUUUGAUAAUAACUAAUUAGUAGGCUUUGCUUGUACCCACGUGUAAGAAUAUGCACUAUAGCAAGGUUUGUCAUAUAUUAAAACAUAUACAAUACACACUUUGACUCCUGCUAGGACAAUACACAAUUGGGUGCAGCCUUUGAACCAAGUGCCCAGGGAUGGAGUGGAAUGAGGCUUUACCUUUCUGUAGGUACUGUGUGCUUGCUUAUCUUUUUAAAUCUAUCAAUACAAAUGUACUGCUUUAUGCCAGAAGCAUUUUUGAUCUCUACCUAUCUUGUUAAGUACUGUAUCUCCUAGGGCCUAAAACAGGGAAGGCCUAGCACAUAACAGGCCACAGACAAGUAUUUGUCAAAUGGAUUAAGUUUGUUUUAUGCAUUCACUGGACAAAUAGAAGUUAAAAAAAUUCUUAUUCCAAAAAUCUAAAAGAAUUCAAAUGUUUUACAAUACAUAAAUUCACGAGGAAGUGAAAUUAGCCUCUGAGCCAAGAUGUUUUUUGUGGAUGAUGUUAUCACUUCAUAGCUAAUCCUUCCCCCUUGGCCUCCCAGUAACAACUGCAUGAGCACGUCACACCAGAGACACAUGUGUCAUCAAUUUCUCAGAGCUGGAUCGAUUAUUUUUAAGCCCCUGUCCCUGCAGGAGGGCCUCCUUUUUUCCUUUCCAACUACAGCUUCAAAUGUGAUGUAGAUGUAGUGGGAUAUACCCAGUCUUAGGAACCCUCAGACAUCUAACAGGGCAUCACUCACAGACAAUGCAUUCCUUUCAGAGUCUGUGUGAGUUCAUCCUCUCCACCACAGGCAAGAUAUAGGCACCCAGCUCAGCCUGUCUCAUCAAAUACUUACCGAGCCCCCGUUGUGGCUGUCCAUGCAUACUGGACCCUGUCCUCCGGAGGAACCGCGCAAUGAGAGACAGUUAAUUCUCUUAUCCAAGAAGGAACUGUAUCAGCCAAGCUUUUAUCCUUUCUUCCUUCUCCCUUUCCCCUCUGGGAAACCCUCAGCAGGCAAAAAGGAUACAGCAGUCUCAACCCCAAGGAAAAGAUGGUCAUCAAAAGACAAUUAGCUUUUCUAUCUCCUAGAAACAACUGCUCUUAAGACAACCUAGCGUUUUGGAAAAUGCAGCUCUGGGUGGCACCUUUCGAAGCAAUAAAACAUACGGCAAAAUUUAAGAGGAAACAAAGAGGAUUAAAUACAUAUUUGUAUUCUCAAUUAAAAAAACUACGGUUCUAUCAUCUUAAUUAUGGAGUUAAACGUUAAAGAAACAAGUUUGAUAUCAUGCCACUUUUCGUUAUACUUCGAGAACGGAAUGCAAUAAUGGUUAGUAAGAAGGAAGUAAAAUGCCUGUAUCAGAAGUAACAGCCCAAACCUGCUGACCAAAAAUAUUAACUGGGAACUAAACACCACGGUGCAGAUCUCCGACAUAGAAACCUGGACAGGAACACGUUUUAGGUUAGGUUUUCCAGCGUGUAAAUCGGGACUCCAACACGUUUCAGCGUCCACAGCCCAAUCUGACACCUUCCCUCGCACCCAUCCACCACGCAAUAAUUUUCCUUCUGAUGUGAACACGUCAAAAGUCACCUCGGGCCCCCAACUGCCCCAGAUUGCUCCCGAUCGCUGCAGACGCCCGGCACCCGC